ACUCCUACGGGAGGCAGCAGUGGGGAAUUUUCCGCAAUGGGCGAAAGCCUGACGGAGCAAUACCGCGUGAGGGAAGACUGCCUAUGGGUUGUAAACCUCUUUUUUCAGGGAGGAAUAAAAUGACGUGUACCUGAAGAAUAAGCAUCGGCUAACUCCGUGCCAGCAGCCGCGGUAA
rnacentral:rRNA from 1 species